ACGGAGCCGAGGCCUGUCCCCGGCCUUGAGCGGCUCUGCCGGCGUGUGGGCGCCUGUCUGUCGGUCAGCGCGGGCCACUCAUUCCUCGACCGGCGGCGGGCCCGGGAGCCGAGCCCGGGGUUGCCGCGCCGGGUGCACGUCCAAGCGUUGGGCCUGUGGUUUCUUGGGCUGCGGUUUGCAGACGAGCUCAAGUGAGGCGGCCUAGCUGGCGAGCUGCCUCCGGUGAACGCGUUGGCUAGAAAGCCCGGGGCGCUGUUUCCCACCAAGCUGACUGUGUGCAGAAGUGGUUAAAUCACAUGCUCUUCACGAAGAACCUGCAAGCAGGGUCAGGGCUGACAUCGCCAGGGAAGAGCUUGCAAACCAGAGCAAAACUGCUAAGGUUGUCUGCGGUCCAGGUCAGCGAUUUUAUUUGCACCAAAUGGAAUAUGAAUGCAAAUCAGGUGGACGUUCAACUCUGAGCUGCAGAAUUUCUCCAUGGGCCAUCGCCCUUGGUCCUUGGGUUCCUUGCCCCCCCCCCCCCCAGCGUGGUCUCAGGGCACCCUAACCGGUGGAGUCAAGUAACAGUCAUAAAGGGUUCGCUUGCUGCCAUCCCAGGCAGAGAUUUGAGCACAUGAAAACCUUACCAUAAGCUAAAUAAGAAAAAAUGGCCAGGGUAGAAAAGUAGCUAAAAUCAUUAAACAACUGCUGCACUCUUGAUCCUCUUUCUUCCUCUUCAUUUCUUGUAUUUUCUUUACUCUCUCCAUCCUGCUAUAGGAAUUUUUCAGAGUUUGAGACCUUUUUUCUCACAACUGCAUGAAAGUUGACCACAGGUCAUUUUUUAGUAAGACUGCUAGUAAGUACUAGGUUAAUAAACAGGACCAAGUGCUGUGGGCGAGUAGUUCAACAGGAAAGCAGCCGCAACCCAGCAUCUUCCUGGGGUUUUCCUCCUUCAGCCCUUUUCUCAUUGUUCCUCCAUUUAGCACCUUUCAUGGAUAAUUUUAAAUUAUUCCAUCAUCUGGAAUUACUUAGAGAUUUAUUUAGACUGAUUAAUUUAGAUGCCUACAAGAUAGUUUAUACCUAGAGUUCUUGGUGCAUUGUUGCAGCAAGUCUGGUCCUGGCAACAGGAAAGUAAUACUUGCUCUGAUAACUUUAUUAUUCAUACCAACUUGCUGCGAUUUUAAUAUUAAGCAAAAAAAUAGCCAGAGUGAAUACUUUGUGACUACAGAAUGCUUUGCAGAGAGGAACGUUGUAAUUUCCACACAUAAAGCAUUCAACAGAUGCUUGUCGAGCUAAAUUUAGAAUACAAACUACUGUCACCAUCCUAGAAGUUGACAUUUUCCAAAGUCUUGGCUAGAGUUGUUGCAUGUUUUCUUCAGCCUUAUGAUUGAAGGUCUUCAUUUAUUGCCCAGAUUAACCUUAAAUCAUCUAGUUAUUUGCAGUCAACUCUGUUGUGUUAUGGGCCUUGGUUAUGUGAGAAGUGCCAAUUCUGGUCUGAGGCCUGAAAGAAUUUCCUCAUAUCUUUCAUUUGACCUGCAGUGUCUGGGGAAAAUCCACCAAAUAAGGAACUGCUUUGUUCUGCUAUUGUUUUUCCUUGUGCUGUUUUCAGUACAGUUAAAAGUCCACCACCUGCUACCCGCAAAAGAAACAAUAAAAAUAAAUAGUUCCUCUCUAAAGAAAGUUAGCUUUACUAUACUUAUUUCUCUAUGUUUGAAAAACAAGGACAACACAUCGGCAUUUCCUUACAGAUUUUAAGAAAUAGAAAUUUAUGUUUUUUUGUUUUGUUUCAUUUUGGGGUUUUUUUGGUCUUUUUGCCUUUUCUAGGGCCGCUCCUGCGGCAUAUGGAGGUUCCCAGGCUAGGGCUCCAAUCGGAGCUGUAGCCGCCAGCCUACACCACAGCCACAGCAACAUCAGAUUGGAGCUGAGUCUGCAACCUACACCACAGCUCACGGCAAUGCCAGAUCCUCAACCCACUGAGCAAGGCCAGGGAUCAUACCUGCAACCUCAUGGUUCCUAGUCGGAUUCAUUAACCACUGGGCCACGACAGGAACUCCAAGAAAUAGAAAUUUAUGUUUUAUGAGUAGGACUAGAAUUUGCAAAUGGAGAAAGCUUCAGACCCUGCAUUCCAGAGAAGUGAUAUUUAUAUAAUUUACAAAUCAAGGAAAUAUAAAGCUGUCUCAGAGCUGACAGAGAGGAAGGGGCAACUUUUAACUUCAGGACAAACUUUGUUUGCAGACAUUAGCUAUAACUAAUGAACCAGAUUUUGUUUAAAUUUGUGGUUCUCAAAAUGUGGUCUGGGACCAGAGCCAUCAAACAAUAAGGGAACUUACUAGAAGUGCAAAUUCAAGGGGCCCCACCCCAAUUUAACAAGUCCUCUGGGCAAUUGAUCAAUGUUAAAAGUUUGAAAAUACACUUUUUCAGUCUAUUUUUUUUUUCAGUCUAUUUUUUUUUCUAAAGUACAUGUGAUUCAUAGGAAUGAAACUGAGUGGAAAAUAGGCUCGCUGUGGUGAAAAUACUCCCAUCCUGGUAUUGCCAGUGUCUAUCAGUGUUCUCAGGCUGUGAGCCGCAUUGUUCACGGACCUCCCCCGUCUUUUUUCCUUCACCAGCCUUUCUCAGUCCUUUGAGUGACAGUGUGAUGUUUUGGUGAUGCUGUUGCAUGCUAUUCGUGAUUGUGGAUGUGAAGAAGACUGUGUGGGCGAUCUUUUCACCCUCCAAAAAUUGCCCAGAACUGUGCACCACUGCUGCUGCUGUGGGCCUGAACCUUGAGUGACUCUCCUUUAUUUUUUUCUCUCGGAACUACCCAGCCAGAAUGCCAGGUUGAUCUGCAGACUCUAGUAGUUUCCCAGCAUUUCAAAACUAUUCUCUAUUUGUUGAAACAUUUUUUUUUUUUUUUUUUUUUUGCUUUUUAGGGCCACACCUGCAGCAUAUGGAGGUUUCCAGGCUAGAGGUUGAAUCAGAGCUACCGCUGCUGGCCUACACCAGAGCCACAGCAACGCCAGCUCUGAACCAGGUCUGCAACCUACACCACAGCUCAUGGCAACACUGGAUCCGAAACCCACUGAGUGAGGCCAGGGAUCAAACUCACAACCUCAUGGUUCCUAGUCGGAUUCGUUUCUGCUAUGCCACAAUGGGAACUCCCUAUUUUCUGAAACUACUUAAUGUUUAAAAAAAAAAAAAAACUACGACAAAGUCUGUAUAAAGUUAUUUUAUAAUAAGAGUUUUAAAAAACCAACCUGGGGGAGUUCCCAUCGUCGCGCAGUGGUUAACGAAUCUGACUAGGAACCAUGAGACUGCAGGUUUGAUCCCUGGCCUUGCUCAGUGGGUUAAGGAUCCGGCAUUACCGAGAGCUGUGGUGUAGGUCGCAGACGUGGCUCGGAUCCUGCAUUGCUGUGGCUCUGGCGUAGGUGGGCGGCUGCAGCUCCAAUUAGUCUCCUAGCCUGGGAACCUCCAUAUGCUGAGGGAGCAGCCCUAGAAA
rnacentral:lncRNA from 1 species